rnacentral:rRNA from 1 species
GGUAUGGGAUGAGCUUGCGUCCGAUUAGCUAGUUGGCGGGGCAACGGCCCACCAAGGCGACGAUCGGUAGCCGGCCUGAGAGGGUGAUCGGCCACAUUGGGACUGAGAUACGGCCCAGACUCCUACGGGAGGCAGCAGUAGGGAAUAUUGCACAAUGGGGGAAACCCUGAUGCAGCAACGCCACGUGUGGGAAGAAGCAUUUCGGUGUGUAAACCACUGUCGUGAGGGAAUAAGGCGUCUUCUCGGAGACGUUGAAUGUACCUCGAAAGGAAGCACCGGCAAACUUCGUGCCAGCAGCCGCGGUAAUACGAGGGGUGCAAGCGUUGUUCGGAAUCACUGGGCGUAAAGGGAGCGUAGGCGGAGAUGCAAGCGGACUGUACAAUACCGGGGCCCAACCCCGGGCCUGCAGUUCGGACUGCACCUCUUGGAUAGUUCAGGGGCAGGC